rnacentral:rRNA from 1 species
UACAGAGGGUGCAAGCGUUAAUCGGAAUUACUGGGCGUAAAGCGUGCGCAGACGGUUGCGUAAGUCAGAUGUGAAAGCCCCGGGCUCAACCUGGGAAUUGCAUUUGAGACUGCGUAGCUAGGGUGCGGAAGAGGGAAGCGGAAUUUCCGGUGUAGCGGUGAAAUGCGUAGAUAUCGGAAGGAACACCAGUGGCGAAGGCGGCCAACUGGACCAUUACUGACGCUGAG